UAUUUUGAAUCAUCUCAUGCAUGUUUAAUUUUUGUCAUCUUAUUUUAUUGUUAUUAUUUUAGUGUGUAUUUAGGAAUUGAUGUAAUUUAAUUUGUGCACUUUAUUUUUUUCUUGUCGUUUAUUUUCUCUUGAGGCUUUAGCAUGUAUCUAGGUCCCUUGUAAAUAUCCAUAAAUGAGAACAUGCACCGACACAUGCACC
rnacentral:lncRNA from 1 species